GAUGAACGCUGGCGGUAUGCUUAACACAUGCAAGUCGAACGGACUCUUCGGAGUUAGUGGCGGACGGGUGAGUAACGCGUGAGAAUCUGGCUUUGGGUUCGGGACAACCACUGGAAACGGUGGCUAAUACCGGAUGUGCCGAGAGGUAAAAGAGAAAUUGCCUGAAGAUGAGCUCGCGUCUGAUUAGCUAGUUGGUGAGGUAAAGGCUCACCAAGGCAGCGAUCAGUAGCUGGUCUGAGAGGAUGACCAGCCACACUGGGACUGAGACACGGCCCAGACUCCUACGGGAGGCAGCAGUGGGGAAUUUUCCGCAAUGGGCGAAAGCCUGACGGAGCAGUACCGCGUGAGGGAAGAGGGCUCUUGGGUUGUAAACCUCUUUUCUUAGGGAAGAACAAAAUGACGGUACCUAAGGAAUCAGCAUCGGCUAACUCCGUG
rnacentral:rRNA from 1 species